GGCCGGGCCCCCGCCGACGGCCCCCCUGAACGCUGUCUGAAGUUGCAGUCUGAGACCUAUAACGAAAUUAGUUAAAACUUUCAACAACGGAUCUCUUGGUUCCGGCAUCGAUGAAGAACGCAGCGAAAUGCGAUAACUAAUGUGAAUUGCAGAAUUCAGUGAAUCAUCGAGUCUUUGAACGCACAUUGCGCCCUCUGGUAUUCCGGAGGGCAUGCCUGUCCGAGCGUCAUUGCUGCCCUCAAGCCCGGCUUGUGUGUUGGGCCCCGUCCCCCCCGCCGGGGGGACGGGCCCGAAAGGCAGCGGCGGCACCGCGUCCGGUCCUCGAGCGUAUGGGGCUUCGUCACCCGCUCUAGUAGGCCCGGCCGGCGCCAGCCGACCCCCAACCUUUAAUUAUCUCAGGUUGACCUCGGAUCAGGGUACGGA
rnacentral:rRNA from 1 species